GCCCUAUCGCCACCGGUUCUGUAUUAGCAUGGGGUCAGGUAUGACCCUAGGUUCCGGCCAGAGCAGUUUGAGCUCUAUAACGGUGGGAUCCAUGGGUCCCAUAUGUCUGGGUAUCUGGUUGUGUGACUGGAGAGGGAGUACCCGAUCUCCUCCAUAGCUCUGAUACGUUCUACUCUAGCGAACCAUUCCUCUAUUGGGGGUGGGGUCUGUUGGUUCCAGUACUUGGUAAUAAGGGCUUUGGCUGCUGUCCACAGAUAGAAUUCUAGAGAGUUGUGAUAAGCCUUAAUAGGUCUUGGGGACAGGUGUAGUAAUAUUUCCGAAAAGGAGGGUGGUUUCGGUAUCGUGGCCAAGGUGGUUAUCACUGUUAUUAUGGUGUCCCAGUAUGGACGCAGUACCGCACAUUCCCACCAUAUAUGCAAGUAGGUGCCUCUGUUCCCUCCACAUCUCCAACAAACAUCUGGGACCUGCUGAUAGAUACAGUGUAACUGCGUGGGUGUCCCAUACCAUCUGCCAUAGGCGAGUGCACGGGGUGUGUCUGGGCACACCCUAAUCCCCGAGGCACGCCUAUGGAUUGAGACCGGCAGAGGAGAUCUCAGUAUCUCCCCUGUCAGCUGAUGCAGAGCGGGCGCUAUCUGAGCGCCGGCUCUGCUCUAAACCUCCC